rnacentral:rRNA from 1 species
GACGAACGCUGGCGGCGUGCCUAAUACAUGCAAGUAGAACGCUGAAGGAGGAGCUUGCUUCUCUGGAUGAGUUGCGAACGGGUGAGUAACGCGUAGGUAACCUGCCUGGUAGCGGGGGAUAACUAUUGGAAACGAUAGCUAAUACCGCAUAAGAGUAGAUGUUGCAUGACAUUUGCUUAAAAGGUGCAAUUGCAUCACUACCAGAUGGACCUGCGUUGUAUUAGCUAGUUGGUGGGGUAACGGCUCACCAAGGCGACGAUACAUAGCCGACCUGAGAGGGUGAUCGGCCACACUGGGACUGAGACACGACCCAGACUCCUACGGGAGGCAGCAGUAGGGAAUCUUCGGCAAUGGACGGAAGUCUGACCGAGCAACGCCGCGUGAGUGAAGAAGGUUUUCGGAUCGUAAAGCUCUGUUGUAAGAGAAGAACGAGUGUGAGAGUGGAAAGUUCACGCUGUGAC